rnacentral:rRNA from 1 species
CAGAGGGUGCAAGCGUUGUUCGGAAUUAUUGGGCGUAAAGCGCGUGUAGGCGGCUUUGCAAGUCGGGUGUGAAAGCCCUCAGCUCAACUGAGGAAGUGCGCCCGAAACUGCAGAGCUUGAGUACCGGAGAGGAUGGUGGAAUUCCCCAAGUAGAGGUGAAAUUCGUAGAUAUGGGGAGGAACACCGGUGGCGAAGGCGACCAUCUGGACGGAUACUGACGCUGAGACGCGAAAGCGUGGGUAGCAAACAGGAUUAGAUACCCUGGUAGUCCACGCCGUAAACGAUGAGAACUAGGUGUCGUGGGUGUUGACCCCCGCGGUGCCGUAGCUAACGCAUUAAGUUCUCCGCCUGGGAAGUACGGCCGCAAGGCU